UGCACUAGUGUUGUUGGGACGGAAGGCAAUUGCAGUAGUCAAAGUCAAUUGCUCGCAGUGGUGGCGAAAACUUUUCCACUUUCGCGCCACUUACUUACAAGUUGCAAGUCGCCCACAGCUAACACGCAGCCGUUAAAGUUAGCUGCAACUUCAAUGGCGAAGUUCGACGCGGAAAACGGAGGUGACGGUAACAGGAAUCAACAGCAUCGGAGCAUGGAUGUAUUAGCAUCCAUUAGCGAUGGACGGGCUUUCAAAUGCUCUGCUCUUGCAAUCAAUGUCUCAUUCAGUUCAAGGCAUUAAUUCAGAUUUUUUUUUUACUGAAAGUUUAGUAUAGUGCGUAUACGCGGAUGUAGUGGUUUUUUGUUAUAUUAGCUAUGUUUAUACAUACAUACAUAUACAUACGUAUUAUCGCUUUGAAAUUACAAUCAGCGUAGUUCAUCUGAGUUCAGUCCAAGUUACAUAUUUCAGUUUUAGUUUGGAGUAAAUAUUUUGUUGAAUUAUGUAUUAUUUAGGUUUGGUAUGGUUUAGUGUUUGUUGUUUACUUACAAUUCCGCAUGACAAGUACAUAAGUAUGUAUGUAUGUAUAUGCAUAGCUUUGAAAAAAUAGAGUAUGUCGCUGACAUGACUGCCUGCCGCUAGCGGUUCAACCUGUUGGCAGACCGCUGAGAAACCGGUCUCCAGUGCACUUCAUCAUUGAAACCAUUGCGCAACUUGUACAACCAAGCAUUAAAAAUACAUUUCCUUUACAAAGUGGAGCAACAAUUUAACGUCAAUUGGAUCAGCACAAGCGACCACGUUGGGAAAGGCCGUAUUUCCUGAAACCGUUGAUGUGAAAUACGAUGGGUGUUCAAUGAACCCUAAUGAGGGAAAUUUUGUGGGAAUUAAUGAGGAAUUACCUUAUUAAUCCUGCGUAAUUUGUUCGCCUUCCUAGUAUAAGCUUCAAAGUAUGAGAAAAUACAUAUACACAUUUGCUUGAACAUA